GAUGAACGUUGGCGGCGUGCCUAAUACAUGCAAGUCGAGCGAACAGACGAGGAGCUUGCUCCUCUGACGUUAGCGGCGGACGGGUGAGUAACACGUGGAUAACCUACCUAUAAGACUGGGAUAACUUCGGGAAACCGGAGCUAAUACCGGAUAAUAUAUUGAACCGCAUGGUUCAAUAGUGAAAGACGGUUUUGCUGUCACUUAUAGAUGGAUCCGCGCCGCAUUAGCUAGUUGGUAAGGUAACGGCUUACCAAGGCAACGAUGCGUAGCCGACCUGAGAGGGUGAUCGGCCACACUGGCACUGAGACACGGUCCAGACUCCUACGGGAGGCAGCAGUAGGGAAUCUUCCGCAAUGGGCGAAAGCCUGACGGAGCAACGCCGCGUGAGUGAUGAAGGUCUUCGGAUCGUAAAACUCUGUUAUUAGGGAAGAACAAAUGUGUAAGUAACUAUGCACGUCUUGACGGUACCUAAUCAGAAAGCCACGGCUAACUACGUG
rnacentral:rRNA from 1 species